AGCGAACGCUGGCGGCGUACUUAACACAUGCAAGUCGAACGAGGAUCUUCAGUGUAGCAAUACAUCGGAGGUCCUAGUGGCGCACGGGUGAGUAACACGUGGGUGACCUGCCCUUGAGCU
rnacentral:rRNA from 1 species